AUUGUGCUUAUCACAACAUGGGGCGUCUUGAAAUUGAUUUUCAAACUACGUUUACCAAUUCAUAAAAUGUCACAUGCUUGUAUAUAAAAGUCUUACUGAGACUGAGCACUUGUAGCGAGAAGUGAAUUGAAAUUUAACCUAUUGAUGCAAAUACAAGUCAACAGAUGGGACUGACCACUGUUAAAUAUAGUGUUAACUCGUUUACACAUGUCAGGACCGAAGAAGCAGCUCUGUUGCAACUCGAAAGGAAAGCAGUUGUUGGAGUUUGUAUCAGAGAGUACUUCCUUGACGACUUUAUUUUGACUGAUAUAGACAUGUAUACAGAACUUGUAAGGUAAUUUGGGCUGUGAUGUAGUUUGCUGGAUUUCUGCGAUUAAAAUUUUGAUAUGGAGAGAAUGGACAUCCCAAUUCAAGAUGUGGAACAUAUAUGUUAAGGAAAAGAUGAAAAACGUCUCAGCAAUUGGGUGACGCUAUCACUGAUAAAAACAAUCCGGUUGUACUAGCAGAGAAAAUUCAAGGUUGGCAUUGGCAUAUGUAUUAUAAAUCAUAAUGCAGUACCGGCAUACCACGCACAGCUCAUUUUUUAAUUUAAGACAACUUAGAUAAUGUUGUUGAAGAACUUAUGGAGGACAUGGAAAUGUCUACAUCUGAUGAUGAGUACAAUGACUCUGAAGUCGAUCUGACACUGCUGACCCACUAUUGGAGCUUGAGUAACUGCAACAAAAUUAUGAGAAAACUGCUGGUGAUGAUGAUGCCGCAACUAAACUAAUAAGCCAAUGGAAAAAGAAAAGAGCAUUGUCUUUCUUUCUCAACUACUGCUUCUUGUACAACAUGGUCACAUUUGCUUUAGUUCUAAACCACAAGUAAAAAAAAGUCGCUGUGGAACCAUGUUGUCAGCACACAUUGCAAGAACUGCAAGAAAAAAUUUAUCUGGAAAAGCCAACCUACCAUUCUAGGAAAGUUUCCAGCUGGGAAUAUCCUUCCUAGCUUUGCUAUCCUUUCUGCAGGUGCUAGCACCCCCAGAAAAGUACUUCAAGUUUUCAAUAAUAUGGGAGUUUUAUGCUACAAUGAAGUGACAUAUUACUACCAUGAAAGACAAUUUCUCUUCCCCUCCAUUGUAAUGUAUUGGAAUUUCUACCAGAAAAAGAACUUCGAUUCUCUGAAAGAAAAAGAAGUAGUGUUAGCUGGAGAUGGACGACUUGACAGCAGUGGGUACUAGUACUGCACAUGCACUAUAUUUUCCUGCACAAUUGGAGUCAUAAUUCACCUGGUAGUUAAUCAGGUAAUUGCAAAACCAAAAUAUUCAUAAAAGUAAAUAAAACAUAGGGCAAUUACCACAAUGUUUCACGAGGUACACUUCUAUUCCACAGGCAAACAAAGCAGGGAGUAGCACAGCAAUGGAGGCUCUAGGUCACCAAAAAGCUUUGUCAUUUCUUCUUUCAUCUGCUAUAUAUCAUUACAACAACAUUUGUAUCAGACCGUCAUGCGACAAUUACCGAGUGAUGAGAAAGAUUUGUCCAGAAAUUUAAAAGAUUCUGAUUAAACUUGCAAAAGAAAAAUGUCGUGAAGUGCUUGGAAAAUGGAGAAAAGCAUGUGUGCGGCAUUUCUAAUGAGCAGCUACAUCUACCUUGUCUGGAAUUGGUAAUGUGAAAUGGGCUAAAUUUGAGUCUUUAAAUUUUUACCACAUAAUAAACCAACACAAAAACUUUGCAAAUAAAAUUUACAACAAGUGCAUGCAGCCACAGUGACAUUUUGAAACAUCGUGUUCUGUUAGCUAAGGGUAUAAUUUUAAAUUUAUGUUGAAAACACCAGAAAGGGAAAAGUAUUUCUAGCCGCCAGUUUCAACUAAUAUGUCUACAAGUUCUGUUUCAUUCGAAAAAUUGGUGGAAACACUUAUUAAGAAAUAGUAAAUCAGUUUGCACCCAAAAUGACCCAUUACUCACACACUGGAUUGCUUUGCAGGUAGAUUACAGAUAGCAAAUUGCCAACUAAAACUCAUUCUUGAAAUAGUGGGAGAGGCGCAAACCCUGUUGCAUGCAAGCACCAC